rnacentral:rRNA from 1 species
AGCAGCCGCGGUAAUUCCAGCUCCAAUAGCGUAUAUUAAAGUUGUUGCAGUUAAAAAGCUCGUAGUUGAAUUUCGGGAUCAAUACGUUGGUCGUGCUUUCGGGUACGUACUGGCGUCAUUGGUUUCUCUCUUCUGACGAACCAUGAUGUCAUUAGUUUGGUGUUAUGGGGAGUUAGGACUGUUACUUUGAAAAAAAUUAGAGUGUUUAAAGCAGGCUCACGCUUGAAUACAUUAGCAUGGAAUAAUGAAAUAGGACGUUUGAUUCUAUUUUGUUGGUUUCUAGGAUUGACGUAAUGAUUAAUAGGGAUAGUUGGGGGCAUUAGUAUUCAAUUGUCAGAGGUGAAAUUCUUGGAUUUAUUGAAGACUAACUACUGCGAAAGCAUUUGCCAAGGAUGUUUUCAUUAAUCAAGAACGAAAGUUAGGGGAUCGAAGACGAUCAGAUACCGUCGUAGUCUUAACCAUAAACUAUGCCGACUAGGGAUCGGAUGAUGUUAAUUUUUUAAUGACUCAUUCGGCGCCU